rnacentral:rRNA from 1 species
AUGAACGCUAGCGACAGGCUUAACACAUGCAAGUCGAGGGGCAGCGGGGUGUAGCAAUACACCGCCGGCGACCGGCGCACGGGUGAGUAACGCGUAUGCAACUUGCCUAUCAGAGGGGGAUAACCCGGCGAAAGUCGGACUAAUACCGCAUGAAGCAGGGGCCCCGCAUGGGGAUAUUUGCUAAAGAUUCAUCGCUGAUAGAUAGGCAUGCGUUCCAUUAGGCAGUUGGCGGGGUAACGGCCCACCAAACCGACGAUGGAUAGGGGUUCUGAGAGGAAGGUCCCCCACAUUGGUACUGAGACACGGACCAAACUCCUACGGGAGGCAGCAGUGAGGAAUAUUGGUCAAUGGGCGCGAGCCUGAACCAGCCAAGUCGCGUGAGGGAUGAAGGUUCUAUGGAUCGUAAACCUCUUUUAUAAGGGAAUAAAGUGCGGGACGUGUCCCGUUUUGUAUGUACCUUAUGAAUAAGGAUCGGCUAACUCCGUGCCAGCAGCCGCGGUAAUACGGAGGAUCCGAGCGUUAUCCGGAUUUAUUGGGUUUAAAGGGUGCGUAGGCGGCCUUUUAAGUCAGCGGUGAAAGUCUGUGGCUCAACCAUAGAAUUGCCGUUGAAACUGGGGGGCUUGAGUAUGUUUGAGGCAGGCGGAAUGCGUGGUGUAGCGGUGAAAUGCUUAGAUAUCACGCAGAACCCCGAUUGCGAAGGCAGCCUGCCAAGCCAUGACUGACGCUGAUGCACGAAAGCGUGGGGAUCAAACAGGAUUAGAUACCCUGGUAGUCCACGCAGUAAACGAUGAUCACUAGCUGUUUGCGAUACAGUGUAAGCGGCACAGCGAAAGCGUUAAGUGAUCCACCUGGGGAGUACGCCGGCAACGGUGAAACUCAAAGGAAUUGACGGGGGCCCGCACAAGCGGAGGAACAUGUGGUUUAAUUCGAUGAUACGCGAGGAACCUUACCCGGGUUUGAACGCAUUCGGACCGAGGUGGAAACACCUUUUCUAGCAAUAGCCGUUUGCGAGGUGCUGCAUGGUUGUCGUCAGCUCGUGCCGUGAGGUGUCGGCUUAAGUGCCAUAACGAGCGCAACCCUUGCCACUAGUUACUAACAGGUGAUGCUGAGGACUCUGGUGGGACUGCCAGCGUAAGCUGCGAGGAAGGCGGGGAUGACGUCAAAUCAGCACGGCCCUUACAUCCGGGGCGACACACGUGUUACAAUGGCGUGGACAAAGGGAGGCCACCUGGCGACAGGGAGCGAAUCCCCAAACCACGUCUCAGUUCGGAUCGGAGUCUGCAACCCGACUCCGUGAAGCUGGAUUCGCUAGUAAUCGCGCAUCAGCCAUGGCGCGGUGAAUACGUUCCCGGGCCUUGUACACACCGCCCGUCAAGCCAUGGGAGCCGGGGGUACCUGAAGUCCGUAACCGAAAGGAUCGGCCUAGGGUAAAACUGGUGACUGGGGCU